CAAAAAUAUUCUCAAGGCGACACGUGGAUUUUUGGACAAAAGGACAAAAAUACCCUUGCAGUACAACGAGGUUCCUACGCACAAGCAGCGGGCAACCCCCUUUCAACCAAGACAGAAGUACCCAAAAUAGGUAACAAUUCAAAGUCCAUCUCAUCAAAUCCUUUCUACAAGGUAAUUCCCAAACACAUUCCUUUUAAAUUAUAUUAAUU
rnacentral:lncRNA from 1 species